CACUCACACCAUCAGUUUUGCAAUGUAUAAAACAAUGAAUUACCUUACCUUUCCAGACAACUGCUUCGCUUUCUGCUCACCAACAACGCACUAAUUUCCUUCAUUUUAAUCGAUAUUCCAGGCCCAAAUUCCCCAGACAAGCGGAGAAAGAAAAAAGAAUAUCUUUCAAACACAAAACCCCUGAUUAAAAGGGAUAACUGAUGAAAGCCAGCUGGAUUGUCCAGAAAUCACCACUGAACUUGUCCGAACAAACCUCGCCAAUAUUUCCCGCCAGAAUCUACGCCUGGUCGCCUUUCACCCAGCGAUCCCUGAAUGGUGCCGCCCGCUUUUCGUCCACCGUGGCGUCUUCGUCUUCCAAACUAUCCAAGCUAACACUCGUAUUUAGAUGACGAUAAACAGCUGGAUCAGAGAUUAUGGGAUUAUAAACCUCGCCCGGGGAGGUAAAGUUCAAGAUCCGUCUCGUUUCCUUCUUUGAAAAUUUCUAUUUUCCAUUCUUUAUACUAUGCAGUUUUGAGAGUAGAAGUAAAGAAGAGGAACCUUAUUCAAUUUUAAUGUUGUCACGUUGUCACUAAAAGCCAUACAUUUCUUAAUUAAAAUUCAAGAUUUGAGGAUUUGCUACUAAAUAUGACAAUAUCCUUACUUGCUAAAAUUUGUUAUUCUCACCAUCGUUUUGCUUUUAAAUGUAUAGAAAUUGUAAGGAGAAAUCCACUUUUGGUAACUGCUAGGAAUAAAAAUGGUUAAAUCUGGUCUGGGUCAGAAGAGUGACAUUCUCCUUCAGAAAAAUAAAUAAUUAGCCCAAACGUCACUCUAACAAUACCUCAUUGAGAUCACAACAAUUUAUUAUCAUCAUCCUAAGUUUCCACAAUAAUUUCUUCUUCUAAUAAUUAUUGUCCUAUUGGAAUAACACUUAAUUUUCUUUACUAGCUAGCUAAUUUAAGGUCUUUAAAUAGUUUCUAAACAGAAAUGUUUACAUGGAAAUGCUUCACUUUAGGCAUAGAUGGAAAUACUGGCAUCUCUCUCUUUCUUAUCAUUACCAGUAAACCAUACCUCUACACUGGAGUGUAAUUUCCCUUCACAUUUCAAAUGA